UACGGGGGGGGUAAGCGUUGUUCGGAAUUACUGGGCGUAAAGGGCUCGUAGGCGGCCAACUAAGUCAGACGUGAAAUCCCUCAGCUUAACUGGGGAACUGCGUCUGAUACUGGAUGGCUUGGAUUCGGGAGAGGAAUGCGGAAUUCCAGGUGUAGCGGUGAAAUGCGUAGAUAUCUGGAGGAACACCGGUGGCGGAGGCGGCAUUCUGGACCGAUAUUGACGCUGAGGAGCGAAAGCCAGGGGAGCAAACGGG
rnacentral:rRNA from 1 species